GCCGAUUUGAGUUGAGACGCUCGCAGGAACCCUCUGCGUCUGAGGUUUACAUGCCGGAUGAUGACUUCCUGUCCCGACUUCUCAGCGCCUGAGUCUUCUUCUCGUCCACCUGCACGUAAUCUACUCUGUGCUCAUCGGACAGAAAGGGCUUCUGCUGGACAAAGAGAGGGAGAGAUGAGGAGACAAUGCCUCAGCAACACCAAAUUAUGUGGUAAAAGGAUUCGGUCAUUGCUCUGUUCAAGGGAAGAUGAGUGGGGCACUCUGUGAUUGUAGAGAGGCCUCUCAAGUCAAGAGGUGGAGGUCGAGCUGUGAACCCAGAAAAGGGCAGAGUUACCGGAUCGGUUGCAAUUCCCGAACAUGCCACAGAAAAGGCCGCUUUCAAACCGUGACAGGUGGAAAAAUAUGUGUAUCUGAUAUCUGCAUGACUCCUGUAUUGACAUUUCACGAGCACAUCCACGCAAAUGAGGAUUCAAUUGUCACUAUUUCCAAUCGCUUAAUACAUUUGUUCAAGAUGAAACAUCGAUCACAUCAUCAAAUACAGGACCUCCAGCCACGCAGCGGAUUAACUGAGUAGAAACAAAAGCUCAGUUUUCCACACAAUGUCCAGAAAUGUAACAUGAACCA